UUGUGUUCCCACAGCCAAAAGUAACAGAACUACUUCAGACAGUUCACAGCUAAACAUCCUCCCUUUUGGAAGGUAUCCAACCCAAACGUGAGAGGAGAAUCUUCAUUCUGCUGAAGCUGGUGGAAAAAUUCCCAUUAAGUUCAACGGAGCCCAGCAAGAAACUUCCAUAGCGUCAGUCUGGAGAGAAGGUGAUAUUUGGCUCAUGCUGAGGAAAAAGGGCCUGCACCGUGUGUUCGUGGCUGAACAUGCCGUCCUUGGCUGCAGUGGAAAGAAGCUGUCUGGAUAACAAGGGAAAUGGAAGAUUUGCAGAACAGUCAUUCCUCACUGAACCUCCCUUGUCCUUAGCGACACGAGUGUGCUUGGAGGAUGGAUGCCUAUAGGUUCCCGAAGAGGGAGGAUUAGCUAAUAAAAAAUUCAGUGCUUGGCUUCUGAUAGCCCAUAACAAGUACUUAAUGCCUCAGUAGAUGGAGGGAAAACCAAAUUUAAAACUUAUGUGGGAAAUACGGAUAAGAGAGUCUCUAAAAAAAGAUUUCUGUAAUGCUCUCUCAUUCCAGGCUAAACUAAUCCUGUUUACACCAUGUGAAAACUUAGAUCUUGUGCCUAUCUUCCUCCCACAUAUAUUUACACUGUUGCUUAAAUACAGGUUCAGACCAAAGCCCUGCCCUGUUUACUGUUCAUAUCACCAUUAGCAUGGAAACACACACACUGAGGCGUAGACGUAGCCCAGGUCCCCAGGUCCUCUCAAGGAAACCUUUGCGUGUGAUAAGUUUGUUGGCUCAGGCGUUGGCUUCUGCACUCAGAGCUGGGAGAAAAUGCUCAGAGCUGCAUUUGUUUGAGGACAAACCUGAGCGCAGGACUGCUAAACCCAGCCCAGACUCACGGUGUCUGAGGGAGCGGCCAGCAACGUGGGCGGACAGCGGCUGAAGUCAACUCUACUCCUACCAGUUGUGUAGAAGUGUCUUUGUGCUCUCCGGUACGCAACAGCUAUAAACAUAAAUUCUUCUCCUACUUCUACUGCCAGCCAUGAAGAAUGUUGGAAGCUGCCAUCUUGCCAAACAAGCAUCAUUUCUUGUAUCAUCGAUUUAAAUAAGCAUUUGACAGAACAGGCAGAGAAAGAUUACAACACAGAGAUUAACACGGAGCAAAUGCAUGGAGCAUCCUCAGUGCGGAGGGGAAGCCUGUGAGUGACUUGAUAGGACAGGUGAACCCAACUCUACUGCUGAAGGGAAAUUCUCCAAACUCAAUAAAACAAGCAAAAAGGCAAAACCUGUGCUGUGUACUCUGCAUCCAGUGCUCUGGAAGACUCUAUGGGAAGUGUAAUAUUUCUUCAACUGUUCUAGGAGAUAUAUGAUGUGUUUGCUAUGUCCAAGUGCAAGCUAUAAAGUAUAAUAAAUAGAGAACAGUCAUUAAGAAGGCACGAUCUCUAUUUUAAAUUAGGGAGUAGUUGAGCUAUGGCAGUGAUACAGAACAUAUUCCCGUAAAGCAUUAUAUCUCUAUCUGUAGUAGAGCUGUCCUUUUGUAUUUUAUUGUCAGAAAAACAUAUUAACUUCAAAAUACUGCUUGGACCUCAUAAAACCAUUCCCAGUUUUUGAGUGCUUUAUUUAUGUACUAUCAUAACAAUGAUCCAAUGGUUAUUAAGGUGAUUUUCUCAAACAGUCCUGAAUUUAGGAAAAAAGUAUUGCCAUGUAAGUGACAGCUGAUUUCCUGUGGCUGCUUCCAGACGAUUGAGAUUUUCUUCUAUGAUUCUACAAUCUAUUUACAAAACCAGUUAAAUUCAGUAGGAUGAAUUAGGAUACAACAAUAAAAUGUAGACUAUGAUCCUGCAAACCUUUUUUCUUUUUAUUCCCAUCUCCCCUCUCUGGGAAGAUUCUGGGGUUUGAAUGAAAGCUCCUUGUAGCUAAGAAAUCUGCAAAUUAAGGUUUAAGCUCCCUUUGUAUCGAUCUAGUCAGUGGUGCCUAAAGAGCCAUUCGUCUGGCCAGAGUUAGGUGGGUACCUCAGGGUGAGCUGAAUAGCUCCGCAGACCGCGAGAGGGGGAUGCCUAUCACUUGAACGCAGGUGUCUGAUGCCACUUGAGAUGGGCCUGGAGCAAGCUGUGUGGCCUCUAGCUACUCUUUUAGAAAGUCUUCGGUCUGUGGCAGGUCCUAGAUAAUAGUUACCAGGUCUGUGUGAAUGUACCAGACACCCUAAGACACCACAGAUGCCUCUAAGCCCUUAUGUUGGGCAACCGAGUUGAGCCCUCUCUGCACCUAUUAAAGUAUAUUUGUUCUUUAAUUAAAUUAAAGAAUUUAGGAAUUAAAGAACAUUACCUUUUAAAUUAAUUUUAAGAGUCUCAUUCAGUUAUUUUCCUGGGGAGAUUUUGGCCAUGUAUUUGGUGGAGAUGUAGGCUGAAAUUCAACUAAUGAAAAUACCAAUCUUCAACACUAGCUUACCUAGUCAGGAAUUCCACAUGACUACAGGGUAUUACCAGCUGUUUUUGUAUUUCAUUAGAAAAACACAAAUCAGAACUCUAUAGAACUAGGACAAAGCUCUGAUCAUCUUCCUGGGAUGUUUUUUAAGUUCAGCGUGGAUAUCAUUGACAAAGUUUCUUUCUGUUCUUGUACAUUUAUAGAAAUGCCAAUAUCAUCGUGUUGAUGUAUCCAUAUGCUGAUUCUUUUUCACAUAUGCAUGUUCUCUUCUCACUGAGUUCUCUUACUGAUCAGUUUUCUGUAUGACAGCAUAUCUUACAUCAGAUACUUAUCCUUCCUGCUGAGACAGAUAUCGCUGAAGAAGCAUUUAUCACUGAUUACUGCAGGAAUCAUUCUUGAACUGUGACCUGUCUACCGAGUUUACAUCUCAUAUGAUAUCUAGAUUUGCUGUUUCUGUUUUUUUAUGUAAAAGUUAUUUCCAAGAGAAAAGUCUCCUAUCUGGCUCUCCAGUUCAUUAUAAUUGAUUAUUAUUUUCAGUUCAGCUACUAAAGAUGCAACAUAUUUUAUGAAUAUUUUCAUUAAUGAAUAGACAAUAUGCUGCAAAUAAUGUUGUCAUUGAAUAAAGUAGGAUUUUAUUGGCUUUACUAUUUAUUUCAAUAGAUAUUUUAUUAAG